UACGUAGGGUGCAAGCGUUGUCCGGAAUUAUUGGGCGUAAAGAGCUCGUAGGCGGUUUGUCGCGUCUGCUGUGAAAACCCGAGGCUCAACCUCGGGCCUGCAGUGGGUACGGGCAGACUAGAGUGCGGUAGGGGAGAUUGGAAUUCCUGGUGUAGCGGUGGAAUGCGCAGAUAUCAGGAGGAACACCGAUGGCGGAAGGCAGAG
rnacentral:rRNA from 1 species